rnacentral:misc_RNA from 1 species
GAUGAAGAACGUAGUGAAAUGCGAUAAGUAAUGUGAAUUGCAGAAUUCAGUGAAUCAUCGAAUCUUUGAACGCACAUUGCGCCCCCUGGUAUUCCGGGGGGCAUGCCUGUUCGAGCGUCAUUCCACCACUCAAGCCUCGCUUGGUAUUGGGCAUCGCGGUCCGCCGCGCGCCUCAAAUCGACCGGCUGGGUCUUCUGUCCCCUAAGCGUUGUGGAAACUAUUCGCUAAAGGGUGUUCGGGAGGCUACGCCGUAAAACAACCCCAUUUCUAAGGUUGACCUCGGAUCAGGUAGGGAUACCCGCUGAACUUAAGCAUAUCAAUAAGCGGAGGA